GUGGGGAAUUUUGGACAAUGGGCGAAAGCCUGAUCCAGCAAUGCCGCGUGUGUGAAGAAGGCCUUCGGGUUGUAAAGCACUUUUGGCAGGGAAGAAACAGUGCGUGCUAAUACCAUGCGCGAAUGACGGUACCUGCAGAAUAAGCACCGGCUAACUACGUGCCAGCAGCCGCGGUAAUACGUAGGGUGCAAGCGUUAAUCGGAAUUAAUGGGCGUAAAGCGUGCGCAGGCGGCUUUGUAAGACGGAUGUGAAAGCCCCGGGCUCAACCUGGGAAGUGCAUUCGUGACUGAAAGGCUAGAGUGUGUCAGAGGGAGGUGGAAUGCCGCGUGUAGCAGUGAAAUGCGUAGAGAUGCGGAGGAACACCGAUGGCGAAGGCAGCCUCCUGGGAUAACACUGACGCUCAGGCACGAAAGCGUGGGGAGCAAACAGGAUUAGAUACCCCUGUAGUCC
rnacentral:rRNA from 1 species